UAACACAGGGAAAACACGACACUGUUUGCCAGAGAACUACAAGUAAAAACUAGAAACUCCAAGGACUUGGCGGUGCCCUAUACCACCCUAGAGGAGCCUGUCCUAUAAUCGAUAAUCCCCGAUAUACCCCACCACCUCUUGAAACUCAGCCUAUAUACCGCCGUCGCCAGCCUACCCUGUGAAGGGAUAGUAGUAAGCAGAGCCGUCAUUGACAAACACGUCAGGUCAAGGUGUAGCAUAUGAAGUGGAAGAGAUGGGCUACACUCUCUUAUUAAGAUAGAUCCAACAGCAAAAUGAAAUAUAGCUCAAAGGAGGAUUUAGCAGUAAGAUUGGUAAGAAAACCUCUCUUAAACUCAGCUCUGGGGCACGCACACACCGCCCGU
rnacentral:rRNA from 1 species